CUGUUGGGUCUAGUUGCAUAUGAGGUGAGGUAAAUCUCAUGGAUGGCUAGGAUGUUGCACACAUGUGCUAUGUUGGGACAUGUGGGCGAGUGUAGAUGGCCUGGAAUCUACAUGCAUGAGGAGCUUGGAAACCUCUAUAAUAUAAAUUAAUUUAGAGAAAGAGAAUUAUAGAUCAAAGGGAGAGAUGAUCAAAACCUUUUGUGUUAGCACAGGCAAUUCCAACGCUUAUGCUCAGGCAAAGUGUGAACAGUCCAAGGAAUAUAAAAUUCAAUGGAUGACUCUGCCGAUAUGGAUACAAGGGGCACAAGACUACACAUUGGAGAGUAUGAGGUAUGUUAAUUACUUGCUGAUUGGAUGUUAGAAGACAUUUCAUGAAGAUGAAAUUAAUUUAGCAUGUAGAGCAUUAGACAAAAUAUUUGGAUUUUUCUUAAAAUGUGUAAAUUAUCUGAGAAGCCUGACCUGCAUCCAUAUGGAUGGGACAGGAGGCUGGAUGAAACAAAUGUUUACCUAAGCAGGUAAGCUCCAUUCAUAUGCUUUAUAUAAAAUUUGAAAUAUUUCUGGAUUACUAGUUUUUCCUAUUAUUUAUUCAUGUUCUUGUUUUUCUGUUUUUGCAACUCAAUUGGUUUUCUUCAAAAAUGGUGAAGGGAAAGUGAUAUGUAUCCUUGUCGUGGUGGCGGUGUUUUUGAACUUGUUGUACUUCUAUGGAAUGUGUGGUGUAGUGAAUGAUUGUUUGCUUCAACGGUACUUUAGCAAUAGUCUUCUAGUGGUGGUUCGCCCUCGAAUAUAAUUACAAAAGACGCACAGGAGAAGUUAUCGGUAUAGCUGUUGGAUGUGCAGGUGGACUAUUGAUACCCGCAUCCAUUUUCUAUCUAUGGUGGAUGAAGGAAUCACCUAGCCAUAUGCGAGUGCACACAGACUCACCAAGAUUUGUACUUUCAGCAUUAUUGUAAUUGUAAUUGAAUUGAAUGAAUGAAGGUUUGUAAUUGAUUCAUUAUUGAAUGAAUGAUUGUAAUUGACUGAAUGAAUGAAUGAUUGUAA